UCAAGGUGUGCAAUUUGGAAUCUCUUUU
rnacentral:piRNA from 1 species